UGGGGAAUAUUGCACAAUGGGCGAAAGCCUGAUGCAGCGACGCCGCGUGAGGGAUGACGGCCUUCGGGUUGUAAACCUCUUUCAGUAGGGACGAAGCGCAAGUGACGGUACCUGCAGAAGAAGCACCGGCUAACUACGUGCCAGCAGCCGCGGUAAUACGUAGGGUGCGAGCGUUGUCCGGAAUUACUGGGCGUAAAGAGCUCGUAGGCGGUUUGUCACGUCGUCUGUGAAAUCCUAGGGCUUAACCCUGGACGUGCAGGCGAUACGGGCUGACUUGAGUACUACAGGGGAGACUGGAAUUUCUGGUGUAGCGGUGGAAUGCACAGAUAUCAGGAAGACCACCGAUGGCGAAGGCAGGUCUCUGGGUAGUAACUGACGCUGAGGAGCGAAAGCAUGGGUAGCGAACAGG
rnacentral:rRNA from 1 species